rnacentral:rRNA from 1 species
CACGUAGGCGGAUCGUUAAGUCGGGGGUGAAAUCCCGAGGCUCAACCUCGGAACUGCCUUCGAUACUGGCGAUCUUUGAGUCCGGGAGAGGUGAGUGGAACUCCGAGUGUAGAGGUGAAAUUCGUAGAUAUUCGGAAGAACACCAGUGGCGAAGGCGGCUCACUGGCCCGGUACUGACGCUGAGGUGCGAAAGCGUGGGGAGCAAACA